rnacentral:rRNA from 1 species
UACAGAGGGUGCGAGCGUUAAUCGGAAUUACUGGGCGUAAAGGGUGCGUAGGUGGCAGAUUAAGUUGGAUGUGAAAGCCCUGGGCUUAACCUAGGAAUUGCAUUCAAUACUGAUUUGCUAGAGUCGGGUAGAGGGAGGUGGAAUUUCCGGUGUAGCGGUGAAAUGCGUAGAUAUCGGAAGGAACACCAGUGGCGAAGGCGGCCUCCUGGACCUAGACUGACACUGAGGCACGAAAGCGUGGGGAGCAAACAGG